rnacentral:tRNA from 1 species
GCCUGUGGCUCAGUCUGUAGGGCGUCGGUCCCAUAUACCGAAGGUGGCAGGUUCAAACCCGGCCUGGC